GCAAGUCGAACGAGAUCCAAGGAGCUUGCUCCUGAAGAUCUAGUGGCGAACGGGUGCGUAACACGUGAGAAAUCUGUCCCGAACUUGGGAAUAACAGUUGGAAACGGCUGCUAAUACCGAAUACCUUCACGACGCUUCAUGGCGAUGUGAAGAAAGCUUUAUGCGGUUUGGGAGGAUCUCGCGGCCUAUCAGCUAGUUGGUGAGGUAACGGCUCACCAAGGCAUCGACGGGUAGCUGGUCUGAGAGGAUGAUC
rnacentral:rRNA from 1 species